UUAUUUUUUUUUUAUUUUCGCCCCUAACUGAAUGUUGAAAACUUCUCAUGUAGAAUGCGAAUGAUUGGUCUUACUGAAAUAAAACA